UUUGGGUUGUAGCUCAGUGGUAGAGCACAUGCUUAGGAGUUAUGAGGCCCUAAGUUCAAUCCCCAGUACCAAAA
rnacentral:tRNA from 1 species